ACUCCUACGGGAGGCAGCAGUGGGGAAUAUUGCACAAUGGGCGCAAGCCUGAUGCAGCAACGCCGUGUGAGUGAAGAAAGGUUUUCGGAUCGUAAAAACUCUGUCCUAAGGGAAGAAACAAAUGACGGUACCUUAGGAGGAAGCCCCGGCUAACUACGUGCCAGCAGCCGCGGUAAUACGUAGGGGGCAAGCGUUAUCCGGAAUCACUGGGCGUAAAGGGUGCGUAGGCGGCUUAGCAAGCCAGGGGUGAAAGGCAUUGGCUCAACCAAUGUAAGCCUUUGGAACUGUUAAGCUUGAGUGCAGGAGAGGUAAGUGGAAUUCCUAGUGUAGAGGUGAAAUUCGUAGAUAUUAGGAGGAACACCAGUGGCGAAGGCGACUUACUGGACUGUAACUGACGCUGAUGCACGAAAGCGUGGGUAGCGAACAGGAUUAGAUACCCUGGUAGCACAGAG
rnacentral:rRNA from 1 species